AUUGAACGCUGGCGGCAGGCCUAACACAUGCAAGUCGAACGAGUGGCGGACGGGUGAGUAAUGUAUGGGCAACUGCCUGAUGGAGGGGGAUAACUACUGGAAACGGUAGCUAAUACCGCAUACCAUCAGAUGAGCCCAGAUGGGAUUAGCUAGUAGGUGGGGUAACGGCUGACCUAGGCGACGAUCCCUAGCUGGUCUGAGAGGAUGAUCAGCCACACUGGGACUGAGACACGGCCCAGACUCCUACGGGAGGCAGCAGUGGGGAAUAUUGCACAAUGGGCGCAAGCCUGAUGCAGCCAUGCCGCGUGUAUGAAGAAGGCCUUCGGGUUGUAAAGUACUUUCAGUGGGGAGGCGUUACCUACAGAAGAAGCACCGGCUAACUCCGUGCCAGCAGCCGCGGUAAUUC
rnacentral:rRNA from 1 species